rnacentral:rRNA from 1 species
GACGAACGCUGGCGGCGUGCCUAAUACAUGCAAGUAGAACGCUGAAGGAGGAGCUUGCUUCUCUGGAUGAGUUGCGAACGGGUGAGUAACGCGUAGGUAACCUGCCUGGUAGCGGGGGAUAACUAUUGGAAACGAUAGCUAAUACCGCAUAAGAGUAGAUGUUGCAUGACAUUUUCUUAAAAUUUUCAAUUUCAUCCCUACCACAUGGACCUGCGUUGUAUUAGCUAGUUGGUGGGGUAACGGCUCACCAAGGCGACGAUACAUAGCCGAACUGAGAGGGGGAGCGGCCAAACUGGGAAUGGGACAAGGCCCAGAAUACUACGGGAGGCAACAGUAGGGAAUCUUAGGAAAUGGACGGAAGACUGAACGAGCAACGCCGCGUGAGUGAAGAAGGAUAUCGGAUCGUAAAGCUCUGUUGUAAGAGAAGAACGAGUGUGAGAGUGGAAAGUUCACACUGUGACGGUAUCUAACCAGAAAGGGACGGCUAACUACGUG